UACGGGGGGGGCAAGCGUUGUUCGGAAUUAUUGGGCGUAAAGAGCUCGUAGGCGGUGUGUCGCGUCGGCCGUGAAAACCUGCAGCUUAACUGUGGGCUUGCGGUCGAUACGGGCAUCACUGGAGUUCGGCAGGGGAGACUGGAAUUCCUGGUGUAGCGGUGAAAUGCGCAGAUAUCAGGAGGAACACCGGUGGCGAAGGCGGGUCUCUGGGCAACAACUGACGCUGAGGAGCGAAAGCGUGGGGAGCGAACAGG
rnacentral:rRNA from 1 species